AGCUUUCUGAAUCCGCGCAAAGAUUUCUUCAGACACCAACCCAUUAGGGUUGAUAAGACUUCCAGGAUAAGUGAAGUU
rfam:Schistosoma margrebowiei strain Zambia genome assembly, scaffold: SMRZ_contig0014483